GCGCAGGGAUAACACCCUCCACGUGCUGGGGGUCUGCAGGUACCGCGCGAAUAAGGACCGGCUAAUUCCGUGCCAGCAGCCGCGGUAAUACGGAAGGGCCGGGCGUUAUCCGGAUUUAUUGGGUUUAAAGGGAGCGUAGGCCGUGAGGUAAGCGUGUUGUGAAAUGUAGGCGCCCAACGUCUGCACUGCAGCGCGAACUGCCCCACUUGAGUGCGCGCAACGCCGGCGGAACUCGUCGUGUAGCGGUGAAAUGCUUAGAUAUGACGAAGAACCCCGAUUGCGAAGGCAGCUGGCGGGAGCGUAACUGACGCUGAAGCUCGAAAGCGCGGGUAUCGAACAGGAUUAGAUACCCUGGUAGUCCGCGCGGUAAACGAUGGAUGCCCGCUGUGGCGCGCCUGGCGUGCCGCGGCUAAGCGAAAGCAUUAAGCAUCCCACCUGGGGAGUACGCCGGCAACGGUGAAACUCAAAGGAAUUGACGGGGGCCCGCACAAGCGGAGGAACAUGUGGUUUAAUUCGAUGAUACGCGAGGAACCUUACCCGGGCUUGAACUGCAGGAGAACGAUUCAGAGAUGAUGAGGUCCUUCGGGACUCCUGUGGAGGUGCUGCAUGGUUGUCGUCAGCUCGUGCCGUGAGGUGUCGGCUUAAGUGCCAUAACGAGCGCAACCCCUCUCCGUAGUUGCCAUCGGGUGAUGCCGGGCACUCUGCGGACACUGCCACCGUAAGGUGUGAGGAAGGUGGGGAUGACGUCAAAUCAGCACGGCCCUUACGUCCGGGGCUACACACGUGUUACAAUGGCCGUCACAGAGGGGAGCCGGGCGACCGGCUCAUGAUCCUUAAAAACGGUCUCAGUUCGGACUGGGGUCUGCAACCCGACCCCACGAAGCUGGAUUCGCUAGUAAUCGCGCAUCAGCCAUGGCGCGGUGAAUACGUUCCCGGGCCUUGUACACACCGCCCGUCAAGCCAUGAAAGCCGGGGGCGCCUGAAGUCCGUGACCGCAAGGAUCGGCCUAGGGCGAAACUGGUGAUUGGGGCUAAGUCGUAACAAGGUAGCCGUACCGGAAGGUGCGGCUG
rnacentral:rRNA from 1 species